rnacentral:rRNA from 1 species
UACGUAGGGCGCAAGCGUUGUCCGGAAUUAUUGGGCGUAAAGAGCUCGUAGGCGGUCUGUCGCGUCGGAUGUGAAAACCCAGGGCUCAACCCUGGGCCUGCAUUCGAUACGGGCAGACUAGAGUUCGGUAGGGGAGACUGGAAUUCCUGGUGUAGCGGUGAAAUGCGCAGAUAUCGGGAGGAACACCAAUAGCGAAGGCAGCUCGCUGGGACGGUACUGACGCUAAGGCGCGAAAGCGUGGGGAGCGAACAGG